CAGCGCCACGAGUGGGGAUCCUGUUUAUUUGGCCUAAAGCGUUCGUAGCUUGUCUAGUAAAUCUUUUGUGAAAUCGUCCGGCUCAACCGGGCGGCGUGCAGGAGAGACUGCUAGGCUAGGGACUGGGAGGAGUCAGAGGUAUGCUCGGGGGAGCGGUAAAAUGCUAUAAUCCUGAGUAGACCACCUGUGGCGAAGGCGUCUGACUAGAACAGGUCCGACAGUGAGGGACGAAAGCCAGGGGAGCAAACCGGAUUAGAGACCCGAGUAGUCC
rnacentral:rRNA from 1 species